CCUUAGAGUUUGAUCCUGGCUCAGGAUGAACGCUGGCGGCGUGCCUAACACAUGCAAGUCGAACGGGUGUACGGGGAGGAAGGCUUCGGCCGGAAAACCUGUGCAUGAGUGGCGGACGGGUGAGUAACGCGUGGGCAACCUGGCCUGUACAGGGGGAUAACACUUAGAAAUAGGUGCUAAUACCGCAUAACGGGGGAAGCCGCAUGGCUUUUCCCUGAAAACUCCGGUGGUACAGGAUGGGCCCGCGUCUGAUUAGCCAGUUGGCAGGGUAACGGCCUACCAAAGCGACGAUCAGUAGCCGGCCUGAGAGGGCGGACGGCCACACUGGAACUGAGACACGGUCCAAACUCCUACGGGAGGCAGCAGUGAGGAAUAUUGGUCAAUGGGCGGUAGCCUGAACCAGCCAAGUAGCGUGAAGGAUGAAGGUUCUAUGGAUUGUAAACUUCUUUUAUAAAGGAAUAAAGUGAGGCACGUGUGCCUUUUUGUAUGUACUUUAUGAAUAAGGAUCGGCUAACUCCGUGCCAGCAGCCGCGGUAAUACGGAGGAUCCGAGCGUUAUCCGGAUUUAUUGGGUUUAAAGGGAGCGUAGAUGGGUUGUUAAGUCAGUUGUGAAAGUUUGCGGCUCAACCGUAAAAUUGCAAUUGAUACUGGCGUCCUUGAGUACAGUUGAGGUGGGCGGAAUUCGUGGUGUAGCGGUGAAAUGCUUAGAUAUCACGAAGAACUCCUAUUGCGAAGGCAGCUCACUAAACUGCAACUGACAUUGAGGCUCGAAAGUGUGGGUAUCAAACAGGAUUAGAUACCCUGGUAGUCCACACGGUAAACGAUGAAUACUCGCUGUUUGCGAUAUACAGCAAGCGGCCAAGCGAAAGCAUUAAGUAUUCCACCUGGGGAGUACGCCGGCAACGGUGAAACUCAAAGGAAUUGACGGGGGCCCGCACAAGCGGAGGAACAUGUGGUUUAAUUCGAUGAUACGCGAGGAACCUUACCCGGGCUUAAAUUGCAGCGGAAUGAUGUGGAAACAUGUCAGUGAGCAAUCACCGCUGUGAAGGUGCUGCAUGGUUGUCGUCAGCUCGUGCCGUGAGGUGUCGGCUUAAGUGCCAUAACGAGCGCAACCCUUGUUGCCAGUUACUAACAGGUAAUGCUGAGGACUCUGGCAAGACUGCCAUCGUAAGAUGUGAGGAAGGUGGGGAUGACGUCAAAUCAGCACGGCCCUUACGUCCGGGGCUACACACGUGUUACAAUGGGGGGUACAGAGGGCCGCUACCACGCAAGUGGAUGCCAAUCCCCAAAACCUCUCUCAGUUCGGAUUGAAGUCUGCAACCCGACUUCAUGAAGCUGGAUUCGCUAGUAAUCGCGCAUCAGCCACGGCGCGGUGAAUACGUUCCCGGGCCUUGCACUCACCGCCCGUCAAG
rnacentral:rRNA from 1 species